rfam:Flavobacterium akiainvivens strain IK-1 scaffold00001, whole genome shotgun sequence.
GGAACGGUGGUGUACAAGGUGUUGCACGCUUGUUUGAAGCACAAGAGGUACCUGUUCGAUUCAGGUCUGUUCCG